rnacentral:lncRNA from 1 species
CUUAUAGGAAACCUCACAGCGAUAGUUCCCUGCAUAAUUCUCCUUAGCUUGAAUGAUAUGCAUCUCAAAUGUGUGAAUCUUUGUGUGACGCUCAAAUGACUCCUUCAGCUGCAAGUGCUUCCCUGCUUUGCUGGCCAGGUCCAUCCAUUUUCCUUUAAACCACUUAACAUUCGGCUUUCGGAGAAGAUCUUUGGCUUCUACUUUGGCUAUAAAUGUAAUAUUCCCGCCAACACUUACUGUACCGCUCUGAGGCUUUUCAAUGAAUAAAGUGGAUCUUUGGGAGUCAUCGCGUUUUUCUGCCUCUUCUGGAGCAGUUUCUCCAAUAGACCAUACUUUACCCUUUUCAGUUCCACCAUCCUGCGGUGUUUUUUGUUCUGGAGGCGGUAGAGCAUUUUCAGUUUCAGUCUCAUCUUUCUUGGUGGGUUCCGGCAUUGUUAUAAGGUUUCUUUAUUCCUAGGGAGUUUCAGCCUUUCAGAUGCAGUAAGUAGUAGCCCCAAGUCCAG